UACAGAGGUCCCAAGCGUUGUUCGGAUUCAUUGGGCGUAAAGGGUGCGUAGGUGGCGUCGUAAGUCGGGUGUGAAAUCUCUGGGCUUAACUCCGAAACUGCAUUCGAUACUGCGGUGCUUGAGGACUGGAGAGGAGACUGGAAUUUACGGUGUAGCAGUGAAAUGCGUAGAGAUCGUAAGGAAGACCAGUGGCGAAGGCGGGUCUCUGGACAGUUACUGACACUGAGGCACGAAGGCGAGGGGAGCAAACAGG
rnacentral:rRNA from 1 species